rnacentral:rRNA from 1 species
GUGGGGAAUAUUGGACAAUGGGCGCAAGCCUGAUCCAGCCAUGCCGCGUGAGUGAUGAAGGCCCUAGGGUUGUAAAGCUCUUUCACCGGUGAAGAUAAUGACGGUAACCGGAGAAGAAGCCCCGGCUAACUUCGUGCCAGCAGCCGCGGUAAUACGAAGGGGGCUAGCGUUGUUCGGAAUUACUGGGCGUAAAGCGCACGUAGGCGGGUAUUUAAGUCAGGGGUGAAAUCCCGGAGCUCAACUCCGGAACUGCCUUUGAUACUGGGUACCUAGAGUAUGGAAGAGGUAAGUGGAAUUCCGAGUGUAGAGGUGAAAUUCGUAGAUAUUCGGAGGAACACCAGUGGCGAAGGCGGCUCACUGGCUCGAUACUGACGCUGAGGUGCGAAAGCGUGGGGAGCAAACAGGAUUAGAUACCCGAGUAGUCC